UUUUACCGCUGCAUUUAAUAGAUGGAUAUGUUCUUAAUAUUCACUGUUAUCUCUCUGUAAGCCUCUGCAUUAUGAUUGCCAUAAAAUUAGCUCAAUGUCGAUCAAGUUGAAAUUGUUUGCAGAGGAACUAGGCUGCUGCUCAAACUAUAAAUUCUUAUCAUCCUUUAAAAUUUUUAAAAUUCAGAUACUAGCUACUUUUCUAUUUUGUGAAUUGGAUUGAUAAUAUUAUGGCGUUGUAGGCCACAAGUGUCAGUGAAGCAGCAAGCAGUGAUAGUGCCGAAAACAUUGCGAAAGGCUCGAAAGUGUGCUUAAGGCAAAGUCAGCCUGGAACCUCUAAAGCAUCUUAUUGCACUUUUCACAUUCUCCAACUGCAACAUCUAAAGCAUCUAAGGCUGUGGUUUCCAAUCAUUUUUGAAGAAAGAUGAGGAGGUAUGUGGUUUGGAAAUUUCUCCACCCAACUUACUUGUAGUACAAGGGAAUUGGUCCAAGUUUGCAAGUAUGUUUGAGACAUGGAAUUGUGCCUAAAUGCAGAAUUUGUUUAGGAAGCAGAGUACAUGUUUUUUUGGACAAAGAACACCAACGUUCCCAUGUUGUUCUUAUGAGAAUGUCAAGAGGGAGGAGUUAUUUUCGCUUAUCAGUCAGAUUUUGAAGAUGGAAGGUAGUUAUCUGUGAUUUUUCCCACCAGAAUGCCAUAUAUUGCUCAGAAUGUGGAAAUGAAGCAUGCUGAAAACAGAGUGGCUUGUGCCACGCUUGUAGAAAGUAGUAUGGAUUGAGAAGAGUUGGAGAAGAGCAUGGUAGCUGGUACUGGAGAGCUAUCAAGGUACAAGACUUGCUUGAAGAAAACUGGACGGGCUAAUACUUUAGUUUCAGAGGUGACAAGAUUUGAUGGAAAGAAGUUAGACAUUGUAGACAGCAUUGGUGAUCGUUUGGAUGACAUAAACGAAGCAUGCGAUUGCAGUGUCAGUCAUUCAUUUGGAUGGAAUCAGUUCAAAGUUUUGCUGCUGCAAUUGCGGCGGCAAAAAUUUCUACAUUCUCGUUCAAAGGUUCCCGCCAGAUCUUGCAAGGCCUUUGUAAAUUGGACUACAGGAAGAAUCACAAGGACAAUUUAUCAAAUUCGAUUGACUUUUGCUACCAUUACUUCCUUCUGGUGAUUUUCAAGCAAAAAUGUAUGGAUGGUGAUGUGGUAGACAAUUGUUCUCUUAAGGAGUGAAGAUCAAUCUUCUAGAAAGCAAUAUGUGACAGAGUAAAUGAAGAGGAAGCAGACAUCAUCUCGUUGGAAAAAGAACAACAUGGUUCCCUGUCGUUUUUGUGAGAAUGUCAAAAGGAAGAAAUUACUGUCACUCGCAGGCAAGUUUCGCAGAUGAAGAUGGUCAUCAAUUAUAGUUAUUUUGCUCAUUAAUUUGCACUAGCAUUGAUGGAGGCUUCUCAAACAUCAUGUAGAAAAACUGAAAGUGUUAUGGUUCUGUAGUGUUUCGAUUUUUUUUUCUUUAUCUAUCUUCUGGAAAUGUAAUUUGGUUAAGAAGAAGAGAAGAUUUGAUGAUGGAAGCUAGAUGUUGAAGAUAGCAGUAACAGUCAUUGGGAAAGCAAAAGCAAAGCAUGUAGUGGGAUGGCAGAAAUUCAAAGAUUAUGUGCUGCAAGAAUAUGUAUUCACAUGCAAGGGUUUCUAAGUCCUCAUUCAAAGGUCCCGAUGCACAUCCCAGAUCUGCUACUCUUAUGCACUCUGCCUCUGCUAGGUAAACUUGACAAAACUCCUGAAUGCUCCGAUUGAGUGCAUGGUUGACAUUCAUAAACACUAAUCUCUGAAGGGUAGAAACUCAUUUAGAGAUCAGUCACAGAAUUAUAUAUAGCAUAGCUUUCCUCUGAUAUGUAUCACUUACUUGAAAUGCUGAAUUUUUGGCAUAGCUUUCCUCAUCUUCCCCUCCUUUCGUGUGAAGAAUUUGUUCCAUUUCCAG